rfam:Ovis aries breed Texel chromosome 6, whole genome shotgun sequence.
UCUCUGGCAGUCUAGUGGUUAAGACCCUGCACUUUGAAUGCAAGGGGUGUAGGUUCUAUCCCUGGUUAGGGAU